CGCCUCCCUCUCUCUCUCAUUUGACCUCAUCUCUAUUCUCUUCAUAAACACAAACGAAAUCGAAGAUCCAUCGAAAAAAUCAAUCAAUAACAUCAGCUCUUCCCUAUUCUCUUCAUCAAUACCAGCUGAAAACGAAGAUUCAUCAGCUCUUCUCGUUGCUCAUCAUUAACAAAAUCCAUCAGCAGAUCAGUUCUUGAGGAUUUGUUGUGAAUCGAUGAAGAACAGUCAAUGAGGAGCACCAACAAUAUUUGAGAGUAAUUAUGUGUUGUCUAAAGCAAUUAGUAAUUGUACCGAAAUUCAAGAUUAUACCUCUUCGAUGGUAUGUUGUUGGUAAGGGAAACCCUAAUUUUGUUUUUGCUUUGAUUGAUGCUGGUGUGAAUUUUAGGGAUUUAUCAAAUGGGAUUUUUUUUUGUUUGAGAUUGAUGGUUCAAUUGAUGGUUGUUUGCAGUUGUUAAUUCCAAAAAUUUGUAUGAAUGGGUGUGUAUACUUAGCUCAGCAAUGGAUUUACUUAUAAUGGUAUAGAAGUUGAUUAAUCUAAACACCAAACCUGCAGUUUGAGAUAACACUAUUAUCUGCUCAUACAGCUGAUGGAAUCGUUGCUUGGCGAGGUUAGAGAGGAGUUCAAACAUCGGUUGGCGACCCAGAAUGAACCGAUAAGCUUCUCUUUGCUUUGUUAGUAAUAAAGAAACAAGAGAUUUAUAGUAAUAAAGAAACAUAAGUAUUGUGGAUUGUCUGGCAGGUGGUGGUGGUGGAUACCAAGGAGGAGGAGAUCAGGGAGGGUGUCUUGGUGAUGGAUAUCAAGGUGGGGGAGAUCAAAAAGAAACAAGAGAUUUCUUAGUAACAAAGUAACAUGUUUGGCAUGUGGUGGUGGUGGAUACCAAGGAGGAGAUUGGAGAAGGUGUCUUGGUGGAUGAGAUCAUGGAGGUAGUGGUAGCUGAAGAGAUGGUGAUUGGAUGUGCCCUAAUUCAAGGUAUUUUUCCAUGUACUGAACACGGAGGAUAUGGAAAAUGUUUGCGGAUAUACCUGCCAUUUGAUCAGGAUCCAUUGAUAGUUUGUUUCUAAAUCAUGCUGAUUUUGUGCAUUGAACGGAUGACAUCUGCUGAAUCAUCUAGAAUGACACUUGUGUCUCAUUUAAAAGAGGCUCUCCAGGGGCAGGAAUUUGAGCUGGAACAAGUACGCAUUCUGCUUCAGUUGUGUUUUUCUAGGAGUUUGGAGAAGGAGCAUACUUGGAAGUGUACAAGGAACUUAAAGCAUGGCAACUUGAAGGCUAUAAGUGUGGGGGAGUGAUGCUUAGAUGUCUUGGAGGGUAAAGUGCGAUAAUGUGCAACUGAGCAAACAUGGAAGGCUUCUUUAUUCAAUGUGCACUUCAUAGCUGAGAGGACAAUGAUGAAGAUGCUGAUGCACAAGAGGGUGGGGGAAGUUUACCUAGUGCAGAACCAUAAUUUGCUGAGGUUCAGAAGAAGCAAAAACUGAUCAAAGAUUUGCAAGAUGCGGGUACUCCCGCAACAAACACAGAUGCAUAAAUUGAAGCAUUCAGAAAGGAUUCUGCUCGUGCUAAAGUGUAUGAGUUUAGAAACUAAAUUUCAUUGGGUAUAUUGAUUGUAUGUUAUUGGCCUGAAUAAAUUGUUCAAGUGGAAGACUUUGUUGUUUAGUGGGCAUUCAGUGUGUCUCUCAGUAGCCUGGAUUUGUCCUGAAAACGU